AUAACGGUCCUAAGGUAGCGAAAUUCCUUGUCAGGUAAGUUCUGACCCGCACGAAUGGCGUAACGAUUUGGGCACUGUCUCAACAGCCUACCCGGCGAAAUUGUAGUACCGGUGAAGAUGCCGGUUACCCGCAACUAGACGGAAAGACCCCAUGGAGCUUUACUGCAGCUUAAUACUGAGAUUCGGUAAUUCAUGUACAGGAUAGGUGGGAGACUUAGAAGCAGAGUCGUUAGGCGCUGUGGAGUCACCCUUGGGAUACCACCCUUGGAUUGCUGGGUUUCUAACCUGCGGCCAUGAAUCUGGUCGGGGGACACUGUUAGGCGGGCAGUUUGACUGGGGCGGUCGCCUCCUAAAGUGUAGCGGAGGCGCUCAAAGCUUGGCUCAGCAUGGAUGGAAAUCAUGCAAUGAGUGUAAACGUAUAAGCCAAGUUGACUGCGAGACCGACGGGUCGAGCAGGUACGAAAGUAGGAGUUAGUGAUCCGGUGGUAUGUGAGUGGAAAUGCCAUCGCUCAACGGAUAAAAGCUACCCUGGGGAUAACAGGCUGAUCUCCCCCAAGCGUCCACAGCGACGGGGAGGUUUGGCACCUCGAUGUCGGCUCGUCGCAUCCUGGGGCUGUAUUCGGUCCCAAGGGUUUGGCUGUUCGCCAAUUAAAGCGGCACGCGAGCUGGGUUCAGAACGUCGUGAGACAGUUCGGUCCCUAUCUGUUGCGGGCGUAAGAGAUUUGAAGGGAGCUGUCCUUAGUACGAGAGGACCGGGAUGGACGUACCUCUGGUGCACCAGUUGUCCUGCCAAGGGCAUAGCUGGGUAGCUAUGUACGGACGAGAUAAACGCUGAAAGCAUCUAAGCGUGAAACUCUCCCUAAGAUGAGAUCUCUCAUCCAUUAUGGAGUAAGGGCCCAGAAAGACGAUCUGGUUGAUAGGCCGGAGGUGGAAGCACGGUAACGUGUGCAGCUGACCGGUACUAAUAGCCCGAGGGCUUGACCUA
rnacentral:rRNA from 1 species